UACGUAGGGCGCAAGCGUGUCCGGAAUUAUUGGGCGUAAAGAGCUCGUAGGCGGUUUGUUGCGUCGGCUGUGAAAUCCCGAGGCUCAACCUCGGGUCUGCAGUCGAUACGAGCAAACUAGAGUGUUGCAGGGGAGACUGGAAUUCCUGGUGUAGCGGUGAAAUGCGGCAGAUAUCAGGGAGGGAACACCCGGUGGGCGAAGGCGGGUCUCUGGGCAACACUGACGCUGGAGGAGCGAAAGCGUGGGGA
rnacentral:rRNA from 1 species